GUGACUGCGUACCUUUUGUAUAAUGGGUCAGCGACUUAUAUUCUGUAGCAAGGUUAACCGUAUAGGGGAGCCGAAGGGAAACCGAGUCUUAACUGGGCGUUAAGUUGCAGGGUAUAGACCCGAAACCCGGUGAUCUAGCCAUGGGCAGGUUGAAGGUUGGGUAACACUAACUGGAGGACCGAACCGACUAAUGUUGAAAAAUUAGCGGAUGACCUGUGGCUGGGGGUGAAAGGCCAAUCAAACCGGGAGAUAGCUGGUUCUCCCCGAAAGCUAUUUAGGUAGCGCCUCGUGAACUCAUCUUCGGGGGUAGAGCACUGUUUCGGCUAGGGGGCCAUCCCGGCUUACCAACCCGAUGCAAACUACGAAUACCGAAGAAUGUUAUCACGGGAGACACACGGCGGGUGCUAACGUCCGUCGUGAAGAGGGAAACAACCCAGACCGCCAGCUAAGGUCCCAAAGUCAUGGUUAAGUGGGAAACGAUGUGGGAAGGCACAGACAGCCAGGAUGUUGGCUUAGAAGCAGCCAUCAUUUAAAGAAAGCGUAAUAGCUCACUGGUCGAGUCGGCCUGCGCGGAAGAUGUAACGGGGCUAAACCAUGCACCGAAGCUGCGGCAGCGACACUAUGUGUUGUUGGGUAGGGGAGCGUUCUGUAAGCCGUUGAAGGUGUGCUGUGAGGCAUGCUGGAGGUAUCAGAAGUGCGAAUGCUGACAUAAGUAACGAUAAAGCGGGUGAAAAGCCCGCUCGCCGGAAGACCAAGGGUUCCUGUCCAACGUUAAUCGGGGCAGGGUGAGUCGACCCCUAAGGCGAGGCCGAAAGGCGUAGUCGAUGGGAAACAGGUUAAUAUUCCUGUACUUGGUGUUACUGCGAAGGGGGGACGGAGAAGGCUAUGUCAGCCGGGCGACGGUUGUCCCGGUUUAAGCAUGUAGGCGGAGGUUCCAGGUAAAUCCGGUACCUUUUAACGCUGAGGUGUGAUGACGAGGCACUACGGUGCUGAAGUGAUAAAUGCCCUGCUUCCAGGAAAAGCCUCUAAGCAUCAGGUAACACGAAAUCGUACCCCAAACCGACACAGGUGGUCAGGUAGAGAAUACCAAGGCGCUUGAGAGAACUCGGGUGAAGGAACUAGGCAAAAUGGUGCCGUAACUUCGGGAGAAGGCACGCUGAUA
rnacentral:rRNA from 1 species